GGUAUUAUAACAUUUAUUAAAAUAAUGCUAUGGGUUAAUAGAAACAGCAAAGAACCAAAGAAUUAAAAUGCAAGCUAUGUAAAAUCCCAACUAAAACCCAAAAGUGUCUAAUGUAUUCAUUCAUUAGCUAACUAAAAGCCCAAAAAAGACAAGACACCCAAUAUAAUAAAGUACUGCAAAACAAUUGGCAAUUUUCAGUUAUCAAAAUUGUGGAUUUUGCAUUUUGUAUCCUUUUCUCAAUCAAGAAAAAAAUUCUUUUUGAAUGUUAUAUAACAUACAUAUAAAACAAGAUAGAAAAAUACAUUAUAAACUUGUAACAAUGGCUGUAAAUACAUUAUCUUACAUGUUUCUCAUAGGCAAUAGGUUGGUUAUGGUACAUACACAGCAUGAAACUAAGAUAAUAAAGAAUAGACAAAAAUACAUGUCAGCUGUACGAUAACAUACAAGCGACACUCCCAUCUACCCACACUAAAAAAUUACAUAAUACUGUCAGAAAAAAAGUCUUAAAAACUACAUAUUUUAAUAAGAAAUAAAUUCAAUAAAGAAUGAUAAUACUGAGAACCAAGGCAUUCAGAGAUUUCAAAAGUCAUGCUUUUUUCAGUUGAUCCAAAAUUUUGUCAACCAAGUUUUCAAAAGUUUGUUCAGAGCCAACAUUACCCAUAAAUGUCACACAUUUAUUAUUUCAUACAUUUACUUUCUUCCCCAUAAAAGACCUUUGAUAAACAUCUAAAAUGUCCAGGUAUAACACAGUUGAGAUGAAACUGGAUCAAAUACUGGUAUUUUUUUUAACAACUAUCACCUCAAGUGUUUGAGUGUCGCAAAUUUAUUAAAGCAACCAAACAAUAUAAAAAUCAAAAUGGCACAGCAUAUAUUGUAAAUAAAUCAAAACUGUAUGUGUAACAGAAAGACAAAGCAGUGGCAUAUUAAACCAAAGCUAGCUGGAUACAAAACAACGAAUGUCUAUUGCAUAGUAAAUAAACUGACAACGGUUUCCAAGUGAGACAAGAUGGCAGGGGAGGUCACCAAGAAGGUCAUGACUCAGCUUCCUGCUGACCUCUGACUGUGAUGCUGGGAAGGUGUGGAAGAGGGGACGAGUUGAUAAGCUGGGGGGCGGGGGGAGUCCACUGUCACUUGAGAUUUGCCACGUCUGGUACUGAGCAGUUAACGAUUAUUCACUCAAGUGUUUAGAUGUAGGCUUUGCACACAAAUUGCUUCAACUACAUAACUAACUGUUUCAACUUCUAGAGAAAUUAGAAGCUUAAGGUGAAAUGUGGUUGAGUAUUUAUAUGCACUAUGAUGCUAGUUUUUCACAUUCUUUUAAAGUUAAGGGGUGGGGGAGGCAAAGGUUACUGAAACAGUAAAAGGAUACACUACACCAGUUAUCUGGUAUGAUAUAAAGACAUGUGAUUAAAUUUGGGUGAUUUAAAACAUUGUUUUCCAGAAUGAAAAUCACAAAGAUUCACUUUUCUGAAAACAUUUGCUAGGUAUCCUAUCAUCUCCAAUUAAUUAAAAA